rnacentral:rRNA from 2 species
CACGCAGUAAACGAUGAUAACUCGUUGUCGGCGAUACACAGUCGGUGACUAAGCGAAAGCGAUAAGUUAUCCACCUGGGGAGUACGUUCGCAAGAAUGAAACUCAAAGGAAUUGACGGGGGCCCGCACAAGCGGAGGAACAUGUGGUUUAAUUCGAUGAUACGCGAGGAACCUUACCCGGGCUUGAAAGUUAGCGACGAUUCUUGAAAGAGGAUUUCCCUUCGGGGCGCGAAACUAGGUGC